rnacentral:misc_RNA from 1 species
GGGGCUGCAAUGGUUUCGACGGGGUAUGAGGAGGGUGACUGAAGCCUGCUCGGUAUGAGCAACUACGUAACUGCGAACAACAUCGUUCGUUUCUCCCGUCAGCCUGCCCUCGUGGCUGCCUGACCCUUAGGGGAGAUGGGGUGAGGUCAGCCUUAUCACCCAAAUGACUCAUGGGGGCUGGAAGGCCCCUCAAACCAUUCCACCAGAAACGAUCCCAGGGAUUAGCUGUU